rnacentral:misc_RNA from 1 species
UCCUCCCUCCAAAACCCUGCUUUACCGCGGGCGUUUCGGGUGUUGGACCGCGUUGGACCGCUCGCGGCCAACUGGUCUCAAAGACAAUGACGGGCGUCCAUGGGACCCUCUUCGCACUGAGCUUUCCGGAGCACGCGUCGAGUUGCAAGGUCUUGUGGGCCCGGCCACCUCUAAAUCUAUUUUUUCAGG